ACGAACGCUGGCGGCAGGCCUAACACAUGCAAGUCGAACGCUCGCAAGAGAGUGGCAGACGGGUGAGUAACGCGUGGGAAUCUACCCAAAGGUACGGAACAACCAAGGGAAACUUUGGCUAAUACCGUAUGUGCCCGAAAGGGGAAAGAUUUAUCGCCUUUGGAUGAGCCCGCGUCGGAUUAGCUUGUUGGUGAGGUAAAAGCUCACCAAGGCGACGAUCCGUAGCUGGUCUGAGAGGAUGAUCAGCCACACUGGGACUGAGACACGGCCCAGACUCCUACGGGAGGCAGCAGUGGGGAAUAUUGGACAAUGGGCGCAAGCCUGAUCCAGCCAUGCCGCGUGAGUGAUGAAGGCCCUAGGGUUGUAAAGCUCUUUCAGCGGGGAAGAUAAUGACGGUACCCGCAGAAGAAGCCCCGGCUAACUUCGU
rnacentral:rRNA from 1 species